GAUUUUUAGUCGGGGUGCUGUGAAAGCAGCUGAGAUGAUACCCGUGAACCUGAUACAGCUAAUACUGACGUAGGAAACUAAAUUAUGCCAAUC
rnacentral:ncRNA from 2 species